AUUGAACGCUGGCGGGAGGCCUAACACAUGCAAGUCGAACGAGUGGCGGACGGGUGAGUAAUGUAUGGGAAACUGCCUGCUGGAGGGGGAUAACUACUAGAAACGGUAGCUAAUACCGCAUACUAUCGGAUGUGCCCAGAUAGGAUUCGCUAGUUGGUGGGGUAAAGUCUCACCAAGGCGACGAUCCCUAGCUGGUCUGAGAGGAUGACCAGCCACACUGGGACUGAGACACGGUCUAGACUCCUACGGGAGGCAGCAGUGGGGAAUAUUGGACAAUGGGCGAAAGCCUGAUGCAGCCAGGCCGCGUGUAUGAAGAAGGCCUUCGGGUUGUAAAGUACUUUUAGCAGGGAGGCGUUAUCUGCAGAAGAAGCACCGGCUAACGACGUGCCAGCAGCCGCGGUAAUUC
rnacentral:rRNA from 1 species